ACCUGACUCAUUGGUGGGUUUACAUUCUUCCAAAAUGCAUGACUGGAAUCGUGGUUAGAAGGCUGUACUCAGACUGCUUUCGUCCAAUGAUCAGAUUUGUGUCUGUCAGGCUGUCACAGAAUGAGACCUGGGCUCCCACAGCUCCUCUUAACACACGUGGCAGGUGCCUCCGGAUCAUAUAUGUGGAUGUCACAACAGUGUCAUAUUACAAAAUCUCCACGGAAGUAUUUUCAGUUCUCGUACUUGCCUUGCCACAGGCCAGGAAGAGAUGGUUGCUGUCUGUAGUGAGGGUGGACUGUCCUAUCAGCAUCUUUUGGACCGUCUCCCAAGCCUGCAGCACCAGCGUCAUUUGAGGAUUUGUACCAAAUGCAAAUUCUCAAACCCUAAGAGGAAGUGAGGAAAUCAGGAACUUAGAAGCUGAGCCCUACCACUUGGGACUUCCGCUGGCUUUCCAGCACCGUGAGGAGUCUGCCAUAUUGGAGAACUGUUUUCACACAACUGGGCCAGGAGAAAGGCCGACAUCAGGAGGUCCAUGGAGCUGUGACUAGAAGGACAUUAAAGUAAUGAGGAAAUUCCAGUUAUGGACACCUUGAGCAGCGAUCACCAAGAUUAUGAUUAGGCCAGUCAUUCCCCUGAAUACCUCACAGAGCUAAAGCCGAAAAGAAGGGACCCGGGACAAAGAAAAGAUCAGGAGAGCAAUCGGCUUCAGGAUGGGGAGAGAGGAGAGCGGUUGAGAGAAUUCUGCUUCCUCUUGGGGAAAGGGGAUGUUUUGAAACUGAAGUGCUGUGUGGACCGGAUCCGCCUCUCUAAGCCAUGCAGCAGAGGAGAAACCAUUGCCAGUUAUGUCAACGGCAGGAGCAGCAAUGUUAUUUUUGUGACUAAAGCUCUUCCCCAAUAAAAAGGGGGGGGGGCAUUUUACUUUCUCUCCAUUCUUUUAUCCCACCAAGCCCCUCUUGUCAACCACAAAGAAUACAAUACCAAACGGCCCCAUCGGACACUUCCAUCAUUGAAAGCAGUCUUGUUGCUGUGUUACUUAAAAUAUACAGUAGAAGACAAGCUAUUUGGAGUGGGUAGCAUGUCACCUGACACAACUCUGGGCAGACAUUUUCAUGCCAGGAGUGGGAGCAGAGAAAGGAGCUGCACCUCAGGCUGAAAAGCAAAGUACACUCCCAGGAGGCGUCCGGUCCACUCUAGUGCCAAUGAGUAGUGUUUUCCUGUUCUUGUUGGCGACCAGUUUCUCAAAACGGAAAUGCUACAGCAGAGGCCUGAAGAACGUAUUCACAAGUACAGAUGCUCCUCGGUUUACAACGGGACUAUGUCCCCAACAAAACCAUUGUAAGCUGAAAAUACCAUGAAUCAAAAUUACACGUGUACACGAAACUAUGAAAUACCAGUAGGCAAGAUCCACCAACAUGUUGUCGAGUUUAUGAUAACUAUAUUAUAGUUCGUGAGAUGGACUCAGUACUGGAUCAUAAAUAAAAUACAGGCCUGUGGUUUCAGCGUAAGAUUUCAGAGGACAGGGCUGUCACACAAGCAAAGGAUUCAACACAUGGACUGGACGUGUG